UUAGAACGCAUAGCUCGUUCGUGAGUGUCGCGUAUUAAAUCGUGUUAAUGCUAUUAUCAAUAGUCUACAAGUGUCUUUUGCGACGGUGAUAGUGAAUUGCUAAACAUGAAACUUGAUUAUCAAGUUCUACAAGAUUGAAGAAAACACGCCAUAUUACACAUAUUUCUUUCUUAGUGAUUUAUUUCAUUUUGAUAUUAAUCUAAAUUCUCAAUUUCUGGGAAACGAAUUCUGUAUUCAUAGAUCCAUUUAUAAGUUUUAGAAUGAUGUGCGCAUUUGUCACCAAGUAAAACAACUAGGUGUAACUUUUGGCAAUUUCACCAACGACUUUAAAUAAAUCGCUUUAAAUAAAUUCUACGUAAACGACAUCUAUAUUAGAAAAUGUUAACAACAUGAGUGUAUAACAGCAUAUGUGAAUUUUGCACGAAGCACUUUCAACCUGUUUUCAACGCGUUCCUUGUUGUUUUAAAGGAGAGACAGAUAAUCAUCAAAAUGGCGAUGAUAACGAGUUAUUGGACUUUAGAUAGUCUAAUGAUUUUAAUAACACUCGUGCUGGCCGCAUAUCUUUAUAUGACUCGCAAAUUCAACUACUGGAUAAAACGAGGCGUUUUCGAGAUAAAACCGUUGCCAUUUUUUGGCAACCUCAUGAACGCUAUACUUUUUA